GUGUAACACAGCUGACAUCACCUGCUCGAAAUCUGCCUUUUUUGACAGAGAUGUAAAUAAAAGAAAUGUAGUUUAAACACUUUUUUGUGAACAGCUUAUUGCGUUCAUGUUUAUUUCAAUGCGUGCUGAAAGGAGUUCGAUGCAAAAGAACUAUGAACACCCCGGUGUUGCACCGAUCAGUCGUCGCGAAUUUUUUAUAAUCCGUUCCCACGACAGUUGGGUCUACGUAAACGGAACGGACCCAGAUUUUAUACUGUCAAGAACUGUCAACUCGGCAGAAUUCUGCCCCUACAACAACAACAACAAUUAAUUAUAAUCACCCUGGUUUCGGACCGACCAGGGUUAUUUUUUUUAAGCGCGACCGAAAGACGCCAGUGCAGAAAGGGGAUACCACGCGAAAGAAUAUGUGCAAAGUGUGUAAUAUUUUAUAAACUCAUUUUAAAAAAAAAAAAAAAAUAGUAUUUCAUGAUUUAAAAAAAAUAUAUAUUUAUUUUCGGGGCCUCCUUCGUUGGGGGACCUAAGCUAUACAUAUACCAAAGAAUUGAACAAUUGUUAAAUAUUGAAUAAAAGUUAUUAAUGUGCCAUUUAGUAUAAAAUAAAUGUGUAGAAACAAAUUAUUGAAGUGUUAGUGGAUAAAGUAAAAAAGUAGUUUAAAUAGUAGAAUUUUUUAACUUUAAGUGCAGAUAUCUGAAAAAAUAUCACCAACCAUAUAUUAUUUCUUAAUCUGGUGAACCUCCUCUAUACUUACACCCAAAUUUUAACUCGGGGAUGUUAUUCUAAAAUUUACCCAUCUCAUUUGAACUUCCAACAGCACUAAUAUCAUGAAUAUAGAGAUUUGUGUUAGUUAGAUUGAUUUUAAUAUAAAUAUUUCGGAUAUAAAAUUAAGUGUUUAUAUGACCUAUAGUAUAAGUAAACAAAAUACCAAAUAUGAUUGUAACUCUUUCACAUUUCGUCGAAUAAGGAAUGGUGAAUUAAUAAUAUGCAACAUUUUGUAAUAUUAAGUUUUGCCUACAUUUGAACGCAUUUUUAUCGCUGCAAAUUGUCAGAUUAUAAGAUGUUCGGUUACAUCUGACAUUAGCCCUUGUUUUAAUAUAAAGUUUUGCCAGCGCCUGAAAGUAUUUCCAUAGCAUUGAUCUUUGAAAAUUUAGAGAAUAAAAUAUGUGGUUACACCGGAUCUUCUUCUUUGUUUUCAUUUUAACUUUUCUUUUAGCAUCUGCAGUUGAAAAUUAUUAUCCAGGGUGCGGUCGAGAUGGUAAUCACGACAGCAGUGUUGCAAAUUUGUCAAAGUAUCACGUUCUGCGUGAAUUUUUGGCAACACUUGCAAUAUCCACGUUCUGCUGUCAUUUUUUGCACGCAAUUUAUGCAAAUAAUCGGCAACACUAAAUUUUUUUCUACACAUCAGCAGAGUAUCAGCAAAUAUGCAACCCAGUAACUGUACUGCUGCAAUUAUUACGUAGCUCGAACGCACUCCCAUUCCAUUCCAUUUUCGUUCUAGUUUCGGUCAUUUGAUAUUUUACAUAUACAUAUAUUUUAUGCAGCCAAGGUGCUCAAUAUCACAAUGCCAACCAAAAUUAUUGAGCAUAUACGCAUAAAAACGAUUUGACUUAUUAUAAUACUUACAAAUAUGGAAAUAAAUAUUUGCAAUUAAAUUAAA